CCUACGGGGGGCAACAGUCGAGAAUACUUCGCAAUGGACGAAAGUCUGACGAUGCGACGCCGCGUGAACGAUGAAGGCCUUCGGGUUGUAACGUUCUGUUGUCCUAGAACAAGAGUAGCAGUCGAAUAGCCUGCUACAAUGAGUGUAUAGGAAGAGGAAGCACCGGCUAAUUCCGUGCCAGCAGCUGCGGUAAUACGGAAGGUGCAAGCGUUAGUCGGAAUUACUGGGCGUAAAGGGUGCGUAGGCGGCGAUGUAAGUCGGACGUGAAAUCCCGGGGCUCAACCCCGGAACUGCGUACGAAACUACAUCACUUGGGGAAUGGCGGAGAAAAUGGAAUUCCAUAUGUAGCGGUGAAAUGCGUAGAUAUAUGGAAGAACACCUGUGGCGAAAGCGGUUUUCUAGCCUCCUCCCGACGCUGAGGCACGAAAGCAAGGGGAGCAAACA
rnacentral:rRNA from 1 species